AUUGAACGCUGGCGGCAUGCCUUACACAUGCAAGUCGAACGGCAGCACGGGUGCUUGCCCCUGGUGGCGAGUGGCGAACGGGUGAGUAAUACAUCGGAACAUGUCCUGUAGUGGGGGAUAGCCCGGCGAAAGCCGGAUUAAUACCGCAUACGAUCUACGGAUGAAAGCGGGGGACCUUCGGGCCUCGCGCUAUAGGGUUGGCCGAUGGCUGAUUAGCUAGUUGGUGGGGUAAAGGCCUACCAAGGCGACGAUCAGUAGCUGGUCUGAGAGGACGACCGGCCACACUGGGACGGAGACACGGCCCAGACUCCUACGGGAGGCAGCAGUGGGGAAUUUUGGACAAUGGGCGAAAGCCUGAUCCAGCAAUGCCGCGUGUGUGAAGAAGGCCUUCGGGUUGUAAAGCACUUUUGUCCGGAAAGAAAUCCUUGGCCCUAAUACGGUCGGGGGAUGACGGUACCGGAAGAAUAAGCACCGGCUAACUACGUG
rnacentral:rRNA from 1 species